CUGCGUGCAUUGACGGCCUUGAGCACCUUGCAGCUGUUCUUCUGGUCUGCACUAGGAUGUAAAAAAAGUGCUCCCUGGGUUCUGCCUGUCUCUGUGGCGUCCAGAUUGAACUGGGGAGCACGUCU